rnacentral:tRNA from 1 species
AGCUAGGUGGCACAAUGGAUAGAGCACUAGACCUGGAAUCAGGAAGACAUGGGUUCAAAUCUCAUCUCAGAUA